GAGUUUGAUCCUGGCUCAGAACGAACGCUGGCGGCAGGCUUAACACAUGCAAGUCGAACGAGAAACCCUUUCGGGGGUGGACAGUGGCAGACGGGUGAGUAACGCGUGGGAAACUACCCAGAGGUACGGGACAACCAUUGGAAACGAUGGCUAAUACCGCAUACGCCCCCCUUAGUGAAAUUUGGGGGGGAAAGAUUUAUCGCCUUUGGAUGUGCCCGCGUAAGAUUAGUUUGUUGGUGGGGUAAUGGCCUACCAAGGCUACGAUCUUUAGCUGGUCUGAGAGGAUGAUCAGCCACAUUGGGACUGAGACACGGCCCAGACUCCUACGGGAGGCAAGCAGUGGGGAAUCUUGCGCAAUGGGCGAAAGCCUGACGCAGCCAUGCCGCGUGAGUGAAGAAGGCCCUCGGGUUGUAAAACUCUUUCGACGGUGACGAUCGUGACGGUAACCGGUAAAGAAAGACCACGGACAACUCCGUGCCAGACAGNCGCGGUAAGACGGAGGGGNGCUAAGCNGUAGGUAUCGGAAUUACUGGGCGUAACAAGGGCGUGUCAGGACGGAUGGGAUCACAUACNGGGGCGUGCAAAGACCAGGGGGAUCAAAACCCCAGGGAACAGGGACUUGGGAAAACUGGAACCAAUCUAAGAAGAGACACGGAAAGAACGGUGAAGCGGAAAUUCCACANGAUACAGGAGGAGACAUUCCGACAGACAACUCGGGAAAGAACACCCCAGAAGAAGAAAAGAGGAGGAGCCAAAAGGGANACAGAGUACAAGAAGAUAAAAGAAAGAAAGAGAUAGAGAGGAAAAAGAAAAGAUAAAAAGGAGGAAG
rnacentral:rRNA from 1 species